rnacentral:lncRNA from 10 species
GCAAUGUGAUUGAUAGUGAGUGUCACGGAGGACUUUCCAUCUGUCCCUCUGUCAUCCUCAGUAUUGAUUCCACCCCUGGGCUGAGGGCAAGUGGUGGCAGCAGGCACAGCGUCCCCUCCAGACACAGCUGUGUCAUUGGCAUGGCUUCUGAGAUGUGGUGGAAGGACAGGACUAAGACACAAGAGCUAUUCAGGAUCCCACAGCAUCCGGAUGUCUUCGGACUUAUGGCCAGUGAAGAACAUGAAGAGAAGGGCAGAGCUGAGUCAGAGUCAGCAUGUCAGCUGGAGGAAGUCAUCUGACAUUUUAUGAUGUGUAUUCACAUCUGAAGGGAACAAUGGGAGUGAGUGCAGCAACCACGAAAACAUGCCCCAUGGAAACUGGCUGGUCAGAAGACGGUAUUUACCAAGUCUCUUCCCAAAAUACUUGCAAAUGCACAUAAUCUCAAAGUGUUUUUGAGGGCUCUUCCGAUCUAAAAUUGGUCCUAGUGACAAGGGGUGUUUGGGGAAAUCAAAGGGCUGGCUUAACUAUGUAGACCUAGGUCUGGUCUUAUUUCUGGCCCAUACGAUCAUCAUGACCUUGGACAAAUGAAACUUCCUGGGCCUCAAGUUCCUUGUAUCAGAAAGGAUGGCAUUCAGCUGCGUACAACAGAAAACCAAAUCACAGUGGCUUAUCCAAGAAAAGUUCAAUUUUUCUCAAAACUACAGCGUCCUGGGCUGAUGCGGCAGCCCCAGGACGACCUCAGCAUCUCACUCCUCCUUUCUUUACUCGGCCCCAUCCUCAGGCUGUGACUUUCAUCCUCAGGUUUGUCAUCUUUUGGUGGUAAGAUGGUUGCUCUACCUCAAGCUCACAAAAAGAAAUGGGGGAAAGCAGGAAAGAAGAAAAUCUGCUUCCCCAGAGACUCUGAGGCUGCACUUGCACAUCUUAUGGAUCCAAACUGUGUCCCAUGGCUGCCCCUAGAUGCAAGGGGCCUGGGGAAAUGAGCGGAUUCAUCAGGUACACUGCAACCGUACAUGAAAGGAAAGUUCUGUCAAUAAAGAAGAGCGAAAUCUACAUUUGGUCAGGAAACAGCAUUGCCUGCAAUAUGCCUCAUAUGAAAUAAAGCCUUUCUUGCCCCCAUUCUGCUACUCGGUCAUUCUUGCACUCAACAAAUAGAUGUUGAGUGCCCACUCUCUCCAGGCCAUGUUCUAGGUGCUGCGGAUGCAAUCCUGAAUCUAUGAACACGAUUGGCAGAACAAUAAAUAUUGAUUGUCUUGGCCACUCACCAAAUAAAGUGCUCCUGGGAAGGCUGAGAUCUAAUGCAAAGCAGCAGCUUGACUUUCUCACUCCCUGGCAACAAUGCCAAGCAAGAGAAAGCGAUGGGUAAGGCCUGGCUCAAGAGUCUCACUGCAACCUGCACUGUAGAUUCUACCUGCUAAUUUCCUCAGCCUUCUCUGGUUUUGGGCUUCAGAAUGCCCUAACUCUGGGCCCGGCGCGGUGGCUCACGCCUGUAAACCCAUCACUUUGGGAGGCCAAGGCGGGUGGAUCACAAGAUCAAGACCAUCCUGGCCAACAUGGUGAAACCCUGUCUCUACUGAAAAUACAAAAAUUAGCUGGGCAUGGUGGCUUGUGCUUGUAAUCCAGCUACUUGGAAGGCUGAGGCUGGAGGAUCGCUUGAACCCAGAAGGCAGAGGUUGCAGUGAGCUGAGAUCACACCACUGCACUCCAGCCUGGCAACAGAGUGAGACUCUGUCUCAAAAAAAAAAAAAAAAAAAAAAAGAAUGCCCUAAGUCUACUCUGGACCAUGAGCAAGGAUAAUCUGUCUUAGAGGAGAGAAGGUGAGGUUAUGAUUCCAGAGCAUUUGGUGACCCAGGAAGUAGACCUGCCUCCUCCUAUCUGUCCACAGAGCAGUCCUAGGGGCAAUAGGCCAUGAGAAGAUCAUGCCAGGCAGUCCAUUUCUAUAUUACCAUGUAAACAAAAACUCAGCUGUGAACCCUGGAACGUUCGUAUUCUGCAGCUGCCAGUGUAAACUGGUACAGGCCUCUUGAAGAACAGUGGGGAAAGGCACUCUGAAAGCAUCCACGCCUCCAUACCUGCUGAUCCAGGGCUCUGAUUUUCCUUCUGGGAACCAAGCCUAGGAGAAUGAUUCAAGCUGCAGAAAACCUUUCUCCACUAAGAUGUUUGCUGUGGCAUUCAGUAUAAUAGCACACCAGAGAAACAAUCUAAAGAUUCAUCAGUAGGAGAAUAUCUAAGUAAAUUAUGGUACAUACACUCAAUAAAAUGUUAUAUGACUACU